rnacentral:RNase_P_RNA from 1 species
CUUUGAUAUUGGAUAGUUACUUGAUUGUUUCGACAAUCGAGAGGAAAGUCCGAACACUCAGUCGUUCCUCACUGUACUUAUUAUGAGUUUAGUGAGGAACGACAAGAGUAGCGGGUAACACCCGUCAAAAGUGAUUUUAGAGGUGCGAGCAGAGACGUCUAAAUUCGAAAGAGUUUAGAAAUCCUUCGGGAUUAGCUUUUAUGGAAACAUAGAAGGUGAAACGGCUAAAUCCUUACUUGAGUGCAAGACCGUGCUGAAAUUUAUUUCAGAGAGUCGCUAGAGGUUAUUGACAACAAUAAUCCCAGAUAAAUGACUAUACAUUCGUCGCAAGACGUUGGACAGAAUUCGGCUUAUAGAUAUCAAAGAACA